rnacentral:rRNA from 1 species
AUUGAACGCUGGCGGCAGGCCUAACACCUGCAAGUCGAACGAGUGGCGGACGGGUGAGUAAUGUCUGGGAAACUGCCCGAUGGAGGGGGAUAACUACUGGAAACGGUAGCUAGUACCGCAUACCAUCGGAUGUGCCCAGAUGGGAUUAGCUAGUAGGUGGGGUACUGGCUCACCUAGGCGACGAUCCCUAGCUGGUCUGAGAGGAUGACCAGCCACACUGUAACUGAGACACGGGCCAGACUCCGACGGGAGGCAGCAGUGGGGAUGAUUGCACAAUGGGCGCAAGCCUGAUGCAGCCAGGCCGCGUGUAUGAAGAAGGCCUUCGGGUUGUAAAGUACUUUCAGCGAGGAGGCGUUACUCGCAGAAGAAGGACGGGCUAACUCCGUGCCAGCAGCCGCGGUAAUUC